UUUUAGAGCAAUUCCAAGAUCAGGGAAUUCCUGAGGAUUUGGGAAUUUUUUCCUGGAAUUUUUGGGGAUUUUUUUGGGGGGAUUUUGGGAUUUUUUGGGGGGGAUUUUGGGAAUUUUUGGGGAUUUUUUUGGGAUUUUUUGGGAUUUUUUUGGGAUUUUUUGGGAUUUUUUGGGAUUUUUUUGGAUCAUUUUUGGAUUUUUAGGGAUUUUUCUGGGUUUUUUGGGGAUUUUGGGAUUUUGGAGGAUUUUUUGGGAUUUUUUGGGGAUUUUUUGGGAAUUUCAGGGAUGAGCUGGAAUUUUUUUGGGAUUAUUCUGGGAUUUUUUGGGAUCAUUUUGGGAUUUUUUGGGAAUUCUUGGGGAUUUUUGGGAAUUUUUUGGAUCAUUUUGGGAUUUUUAGGGAUUUUUCAGAAUGACUUUGGGAUUUUUGGGGAUUUUUUUGGGAUUUUUUGGGAUUUUUAGGGAUUUUUCUGGUUUUUUUUUGGAUUUUGGGGGAUUUUUUGGGGCAAUUUUG
rnacentral:lncRNA from 1 species